GACGAACGCUGGCGGCGUGCUUAACACAUGCAAGUCGAACGAGACGAUUUAGAAGCUUGCUUUUAUUGAGUCGAGUGGCAAACGGGUGAGUAACGCGUAGACAACCUGCCGCAAAGAUGGGGACAACAGUCCGAAAGGACUGCUAAUACCGAAUGUUGUAUCUCCUCCGCAUGGAGAAGAUAUUAAAGAUGGCCUCUACUUGUAAGCUAUCGCUUUGCGAUGGGUCUGCGUCUGAUUAGCUAGUUGGUGGGGCAACGGCCUACCAAGGCGACGAUCAGUAGCCGGUCUGAGAGGAUGAACGGCCACAUUGGAACUGAGACACGGUCCAGACUCCUACGGGAGGCAGCAGUGGGGAAUCUUCCGCAACUAGGGCGAAAGCCUGACGGAGCAACGCCGCGUGAGUGAAGAAGGUCUUCGGAUCGUAAAGCUCUGUUGUCGGGGACGAAUGUUGAGAUCUAGAAUAUAGAUUUC
rnacentral:rRNA from 1 species